GAGACUCUGUGCGCGUGCAUAUCAAUAAGCGGAGGAAAAGAAACUAACAAGGAUUCCCUUAGUAACGGCGAGUGAAGCGGGAAGAGCUCAAAUUUGAAAUCUUCAAGGUUCUACCUUGACGAAUUGUAGUUUAUAGAAGUGUUUUCUGUUAGUAGAGUGGCAAAAGUUCUUUGGAAUAGGACAUCAUAGAGGGUGAGAAUCCCGUAUUUGGUCAUUCCUCCUAGCGUUGUGAUACACUUUCAACGAGUCGGAUUGUUUGGGAAUGCAGUCCAAAAUGGGUGGUAAAUUUCAUCUAAAGCUAAAUAUUGGCGAGAGACCGAUAGCGAACAAGUACCGUGAGGGAAAGAUGAAAAGAACUUUGAAAAGAGAGUUAAACAGUACGUGAAAUUGUCAAAAGGGAAGCGUUUGACACCAGUGUUGUUUUUCCGAAAAUCAAUUACGAAUGUUUUGUUUUUAAGAAGUUAUGACUUCAUCGGCUUGCUUCUUUCUUUACGAAACUUUCUUAAUGCACUUUUCGGUUAACAAGUCAACAUCAAUUUCUUUUGUUGUAAAAGGGUACGAGGAAGGUGGCUUUCUUUUCGGAGAAAGUGUUUAUAGCCUUGUACCUCUGCAAUCGGAGAGAUUGAGGUCUGCAGCGUAGAUCCUUCGGGGUUAGAUACAUUUGUGCUAAGUUAUAGCUUUUCAUAGACAACUUGUUGACUAUGUUAAGUCUUGUAGCUUACUCGCUUAUGCUAUUUUACCUACGCUUAGGAUGUUGACGAUCAGCUGAGCGCG
rnacentral:rRNA from 1 species